AACCUAGCACACCUGCGGUGUGUACCUGCGGAGGGAUCAUUAACCUUUCAAAUCAGGGUGCGUCGCGGCCCCCGAGGAGCGGAAACAAUCCCGGGGAGGUUUGCGGGGUCUUCGGACCCCCCUAACGCACGCACGACUGCCAUCCUUACUUUACGAGCACCUUCUGUUCUCCCUCGGCGGGGCAACCUGCCGUUGGAACCGAAUAAACUCUUUUUGCAUCUAGCAUUACCUGUUCCGAAA
rnacentral:misc_RNA from 1 species